AGAGCUUGAUCCUGGCUCAGAACGAACGCUGGCGGCAGGCCUAACACAUGCAAGUCGAGCGGACGUCCCGCGAAGGACGCCAGCGGCGCACGGGUGAGUAACACGUAAGAACCUACCUCGUUCAACGGCACAACGCAGGGAAACCUGCGCUAAUUCCGUAUGACUCCUGCACCAGGUAAAGAACCCUUCGGAGCGAGAUGAGCUUGCGUUAGAUUAGCUUGUUGGCGGGGCAAAUGCCCACCAAGGCAACGAUCUAUAGCUGGUCUGGGAGGACGGACAGCCACACUGGGACUGGAACAAGGCCCAGGCCCCCACGGGAGCCAGCAGUGAGGAAUCUUGGACAAUGGGCGAAAGCCUGAUCCAGCCAUGCCGCGUGAGCGAUUAGAAGUCUAACCUUCUGAAGGUUCGUAAGGAACUGUAAACCUCUUUUGCCAAACGAAAUUGAUGAUAGUUUGCGCGAAUAAGCUCCGGCCAACUUCGUGCCAGCAGCCGCGGUAAUACGAAGGGAGCAAGCGUUGUUCGGUUUGAUUGGGCGUAAAGCGCGCGUAGGCGGCUGCGCAAGUCGAUGAACAGAAGCCAAACAAUGGAGCUCAACUCCAUUCCGCUUCCGAUACUACGCGGCUUGAGGUCGGUGGAGGCGGACGGAACCCCAAGUGUAGAGGUGAAAUUCGUUGAUAUUUGGGGGAACACCAGAGGCGGAAGCGGUCCGCCAUGCCGAUUCUGACGCUAAUGCGCUAAAGCGUGGGGAGCAAACAGGAUUAGAUACCCUGGUAGUCCACGCCCUGAACGAUGAGUGCUAACAGCUGGAAACCUAACACAAGUUUACGUUUUUGAUUGUAAAGCUAACGCGUUAAGCACUCCGCCUGGGGAGUACGGCCGCAAGGUUGAAACUCAAAGGAACUGACGGGGACCCGCACAAGCGGUGGAGCAUGUGGUUUAAUUCGAAGCUGCACGCAAAACCUUACCAGCCUUUGACAUUGUAGGUCGGUUGCGAACCGAAACGUCCGCACCCAAUGACCUUGCAACAGGUGCUGCAUGGCUGCCGUCAGCUCGUGUCGUGAGACGU
rnacentral:rRNA from 1 species